UAAUGUACGUCACGCGUAUUAAUAAUAAUAUGUGUACGCGACGACGACGACGACGGAGCCGCGGUCGCCCAUCCCUCGUACCAGGUAUACUUAGCGUAAUUGUAAACCAUUAACCGUGGUAUAUAUUAAAAUACGUAUAUCAUCUCGAUCGCGGACUCGAAUGUGGGUACACUUGAGGGUCGGCGGUCGGGUUGGAUCCUUAACAUUAUCUAAUAUCUACGCACCUAUCACGUCGAUUCAUUCGUUGCGGGCGACGCGACGCAAUUUUAUAAUAUAUUAAAGCGGUUUUUAUGUUAAUAUAAUAUAAUAUUAUAAACACUUAUUAUUCCGACCUACCUGUCUGAUUAUACUGUACUCCGAUGCGGUGCGCCGACAUUGUCAUGGAAAUAUAAUUCAUAGGACCAAGUUGUUUUAACCGGAAAUUAAAUCGUAGUACCAGAUAAUCUUGUCGGCUCCGCGAACGCGCGUUUACGUCUACUCCUGGAGAAUAUUUUCAAUAGCGCGUGCACAGACGGAAAGUCAAUAAACGAGAAAAAUUCGAAAGCAUAAAUAAUAUUUGGUACAUUAUAUUAUGUACAGACCAAUUAAGAUUUUGUAGACUUUGAACAUCAAUUUCUAGCACCCACUUAUAUUUAGAAUGCACCCACCAAAAAUUGACAAGUCUCUUCAAAUGAAGUCUUCAUAAAUUGGGAAGUUGAAAGUUGGUUGCUGAAACUGAACCGUUGUAAAUUGCUGAGGACAUUAACGUCAUGUGUCAUAAAUUGAGUAGAAUUAUGAGUUAUGGACAACAACUUUGGGAUAUGUUGAAAAAAUCUAAUUCAAGCAAUCCAAAACGUAGCUUUUCGAAGACUCCAAUUCUCCACUAUAUCUUCAAUCUGGAUGCAUAAAGAUUUGAAAUGAUGAAUACUUUUGAUAAUGAUCAUGUUUUUUUAUACGCUUUUGUAAGGAACUUCAAAGUCAUCUCA